rfam:Streptomyces rubidus strain CGMCC 4.2026 genome assembly, contig: Ga0079901_1020
GGGACAGGGGGGUCUCCGUCCGCUGGAUGGAACCAACCGGAUGGAGCCUGUCCCGCAGGUUGCGCGAGAGCGUGGCCAGUGGUUGUCGCUCGGGGGUGAUCGCCG